GAUGAAGAACGUAGCGAAAUGCGAUAAGUAAUGUGAAAUGCAGAAUUCAGUGAAUCAUCGAAUCUUUGAACGCACAUUGCGCCCCUUGGUAUUCCGGGGGGCAUGCCUGUCCGAGCGUCAUUGCUGCCCUCAAGCACGGCUUGUGUGUUGGGCCCCGUCCUCCGAUCCCGGGGGACGGGCCCGAAAGGCAGCGGCGGCACCGCGUCCGGUCCUCGAGCGUAUGGGGCUUUGUCACCCGCUCUGUAGGCCCGGCCGGCGCUUGCCGAUCAACCCAAAUUUUUAUCCAGGUUGACCUCGGAUCAGGUAGGGAUACCCGCUGAACUUAAGCAUAUCAAUAAGCGGAGGA
rnacentral:misc_RNA from 1 species